rnacentral:lncRNA from 1 species
AAACCAAAUAAAAGUCCAAUAUUAACACUCUAAAUAUUACAACCCCAACUUACAAACCCAAAUUUAAAACCCAAAAUAAAAAACCUAAGCCCAACCCUAUAGCCCACAACCUAAACAUCCCAUCAGCUAAGCAAAAAACCCUAGCCCUAUGUGCGCCGUACCCCUCCCUCGGUCACUUUGCUGGCGCCUCAUCCCGAGGAUCCUCGCCUCAAGGCAUGGCACCUUAGGCCACCUUGCACCGAAAUAGCAAGAUCUCUACUUCAUUGACCUUGCACAGAUCUGCAAAGAAGCCGAAAAAGAACAAAAAACAGGGCAAAGAAACACGCAAAGCAGAAAAGAAACAGAAAGCAACAAGUAGGAAAUAGUAGCAAAAUAUAAAUAAAUAGAGAUUAUUCGGCUAUAAGAGGGGGAACCGAUUGUAUUUUCAAGGGUUUUUUUUGGAAUAUAUAAAAAAAGAUUGUAUUACACACGAAUAUUAGAGAAUCAAAAAGCAAAAAUACAGAAGAAAAAGGUUGAUUUUGAUAUCCGUUUCUCUUGUUCAUUUCGUUCAUUUUUUAUUUGUGAUUUAUCUCUUUAUUUUUAUUAUAAAUCAAUUUUAAACAAAAAAUAAAAGAGAAGCUUACUCGAAUCCGAUCUUGGCGUGGCUCCGACCACCGUCCACGGUGGAGCCAAGGUGGUUCGACGACGGUGCUAUGAUGGGUUUUCAAAACCCUAGCAAAAGGGAAAAAAGGAGAAAGGGGGGGCUUAAAAGUUUUUUUUUU